CUGUCUUCUUCGUCAUGCUCUGGCGACACUAUCUUCGGGAGGGUGUGUGUCUCCAAAAAAAAAACUUCGGGAGGGUGGUACUGGCGGGGAUUCUGCUGGAUCAUCGACGACCAUCUUCGGGAGCCGGUGCGACCGGCUGCAGCUAUUAAACCUUCGAUAUGCUGGAGGGUGAUGAGGUGACAUGGAGCUAAACAUAGAUUGAAGAUUCUGUCAUGAGUUCCUCAGAGAAGAUAGAACAAAUGAGUAUGGAGAUCCAGCUGUUGAAGACGCCGAGGGACAAGAACAUUCAGGAGUUGUUCGCCUAAUGGGUUGGUGAGAACAAGAAUACAGUUAACAUCAUCACAGAGCCCUGCACAUCUCGCAUGCGAGGCAGUUCUGUAGGAAGCACAAGAAAGUGGGUAUGAAAGCUAUGAGACGAUGGCCAAUACAGAUAUUGACAGGGCUGGAAUAUCAUUAGAGUCCGGCGCCAACGAAUAUACAUAGCGACUUAAAGUGUGACAAUAUAUUCAUAAAUAGUCCUGAUGGAACAGUGAAGAUCGGCGACUAUAUGGUCUGGCGACAUUAUUGCAUCAAUGGAAAAAGCAAAGUGUCAAAGGCGCAUUAGACUUUAUGGCACUAGAACGCUUCACUGGCAAUACAAUGAGUUGCUUGGGUAUUCCAAUCCCCUUCGCAGCCUCUUCUGUCAAUCCAGCAGCACACCGCUGCCCUUCGCAUCCUCCCUGCAUCACUGCAACUGGGCCGUGCUCACAUCGUCUGCGGUCACAUGCGCAAUCUCUGCGCUCGACGCUGCCUCCACCGAGAUUCAUUGCAAGGGUGCCUGAAACGCCCACUGCUGGGUACAUGCAUACAACAAUUAUGCCAUGUCUUCCCUAUUCGAUCGGUCGCACAUGUUAUGGGCUCUGUGACGAUGGAGGCAUGGUGGUGUGAGUGGUAGCGAGAGUAAAGGAAAUGGUGGUGCAGCGCCCUGUGGAACCAGUAAUAGAGAAAUUCAACAGGUCCUAUGUGAAGCAACGCCAUGAUGAUGGCUCCCUUUGUUUCCCACAUUGGCAUGAGCCUGACGCUCGGGAUGGUUGCAUAGGCCAAGUAGAAAAACAGCGUCAUGAGGAUGAUCUGGUCAUCCCUGUACAGAAUGGUAUGUGCCAGUUAAUUUGAGUGUGAUAGAAGUGAAUAGCAGGACGUGUGCAUAUAUGGCUUACCAGGAGCUCUCCCGGUCCACCUGCUCGAAUUCAAGACCGCGGUCAACGAUGAUGUGCUUCCUGCGUGCGGUUUGGUGGCGAGACAAGCUGAUCCAGAUCUGGUUGUGGAUCAUCCUCAGAAGCAGAGCUGGUAGCAUGGUGGUGUAUGCUGUAUCCAUGUCUCCCCACCCACUGGUGACCACCCUGUGCGCAGUGUGCAAUGCCGCAGGUGCUAAGACCAGGUGGUAAUCAGAUCUUUGAUUGUUCGGAAGCUAUUGCCGUGGCUUCAAGCUUGCAAACUUCUACGUUUUGAAGAGAAAAGGAGGAUCACAAAGGCCAAUGAAUGCAAACGGUCCAAGGUUUCAUGAGAAUGGCAUGAUCUGCCCAGCAAUACAUCUUUAUGAUUUGGUUGCUGCUAUCAGGGAUUUUACCGGUGCCUAUAUUAUCGUACCCUGGUCGUUAUCCACCGUGCAAGAAGCAUGCAAAGGAAUUUGUCAAAGGUCCCUAUCCUCUUAUCUUUCUUGUGUUUCUUAAAUUGAGACAGAGCAUAAUAGAAUGAUAAUAUAAUUUGCUUCCAUCGUUUUUCUUGAAGCAGUUUUUCUGGAUCAUGUGAAAAACUGAAAAGUACUCAGGGAAUCAGCAACAUGGGACUGAAACGCUUAUGCUAGAAUAUACUAUUUACAAUUCAAAAUACAGGUAGUUUUAUUUAAUUGAUAACAGAAUAGUCUUGAGUGUUCACUACGACAUGCAAGUUUUGCUGCAAUUCCUGUUCCACCUGACUUCAGUACUGGGACAUUAUGAUGCGUAUGAAACUUUAUUUAAUGCAUACUUUUUGAAGGAAAUAUAUAAAUAUAUGAAUAUCCUCAUUGAAGUAGUUAGUUUAUUUUUUUGGUCGCUCAAUCAUAUGAUGUUCCUAAAUUUGCAAACAUGAAUUUAGCUAGAUAAAAUAAAACAUUAUGUCCUACAUUUCUGAACCAAAAACAAAUAUCAGAAAGGAACACUCCAAACAGACAGUAGCACGUAAAGUGCAGACAAGA